CCUUUCGCACUUAUGUUACAAGGAACUGGGGGGUAGUCGUUAUAGCCAAAUUUUGAGUCAUCCUUCGAAGAUAACGUCUACCUCAGCGGAUGAUCGUCCUCGCCCUCAGCAGAUGAUCGUCCUCUCGCUCAGCUGAUGAUCGUCGUCUACCUCAGCUGAUAAGCUCGUCCUGAGCUGAUGAUCGUCCUCCCCCUCAGCAGAUGAUCGUCCUCUCCCUCAGCUGAUGAUCGUCGUCUACCUCAGCUGAUAAGCUUCGUCCUGAGCUGAUGAUCGUCCUCGCCCUCAGCAGAUGAUCGUCCUCUCGCUCAGCUGAUGAUCGUCGUCUACCUCAGCUGAUAAGCUCGUCCUGAGCUGAUGAUCGUCCUCGCCCUCAGUAGAUGAUCGUCCUCUCCCUCAGCUGAUGAUCGUCGUCUAC
rnacentral:lncRNA from 1 species